ensembl:lncRNA
UAAUGAGGUAGAGGAGAGCCGUGGAGAGGAAGAGGAGGGCGAGGAGGAGAAAGAGAGCGGAGAAGAGGAAGAGGAGGCAAGCAAAGUUGAGGAAGAGGAGGAGGAGCAGAUGGAAGCGAAAGAAAGUGGAGAAAAUUCCUCCGAGAAGGAGGAGGAGGAGGGUGAAGAGAAAGAGGGAGAGAUGGAGAGUGGCGGAGAGGAAGAGGAAAAUGGGGAUGAAGAAAAGAGUGAGGGAGCGUCAGAGGAAGAGGAGGAGGAGGAGAAUAAACAGAAUGAGGAAGAAGGCGAGGACGGAGGGAAAGAAGAGGGGGAAGGUGAGGAAGAAGAGGGGGAAGAAGAGAGCAAAGAAAAGGGAGAGGAAGAAGAACAGAAUCAUGAAGAGGAAGAGGAAGGAGAAGAGGCAGAAGAAAAGGGAGAGGAAGAAGAACAGAAUCAUGAAGAGGAGGGAGAAGAGGCAGAAGAAAAGGGGGAGGAAGAAGAACAGAAUCAUGAAGAGGAAGAGGAAGGAGAAGAGGCAGAAGAAAAGGGAGAGGAAGAAGAAGAGAAUCAUGAAGAGGAAGAGGAAGGAGAAGAGGCAGAAGAAAAGGGAGAGGAAGAAGAAGAGAAUCAUGAAGAGGAAGGAGAAGAGGCAGAAGAAAGGGGGGAGGAAGAGGGAAAAGAUGAAGGAGAGGGGGAGGAGGAGGAAACAAUAGAGCAAAAAGACGAGGAAAGGAAAGAGAGCGAAGGAGAGGCUGAAGAAGAAGUCCAAGAAAAGGAGGACACGAUGGAAAGAGAUGGAAAAGGAGAUGUGGGAGUAACGGAAGCAGAGGAUGAAGAGAGGGAUGGAGAGAUGGAGGGAAGGGCGGAAGAUGGUAACGAGGAGAAAGGUGGAGAAGAGGAACGAGGGAUGGAGAAGGACGAGUGGGAAGAUCAGACAGAGGGAGAGGAGGAACAGUCUAAAACAGGAGGAGAGAAGACGGAAGAGAGGGAUGCAGGGAAGAGAAAGAAGGAGCAGGAAGAGCUGGAACCCAAACAGACAGACAUCAGCAGAGCGACAGGAGGCACCAGAGAUGACCGGAAACUAAAGAAAGGCAAAGCUGUGGAGAAGGAAGAAGAGGAGGAGGAGGAGGAGAAGAAGGAGGAGGAGAAGGAGAAGGAGGGAGAGGGGGAGGAGGAACGAGUAAAGCCAAUGACAACCACCAAAGAGCAAGAGAAACCAAAGCAGAAGCAGAAGACAGAGCAAAAGAAAAGACAGACAGAAGAAAAGAAAGAGAGUGAGGAGGAGGAGGAGGAGGGAGAUGAUGAUGAUGAUGAAGAUAAGGAUGAGGAUGAAGAAGAAGUCAAACCUAAACAAAGAACCAAAGAACAGGCGAAACAAAAGCCGAGAGGAAAAGAAGAAAAGAAAGAAGAAAAGAAGUCAAAGAAAGAAGAAAAGAAAGAGAGUGGAGAGGAAGAUGAAGAGGAAGAAUCUGAGGAGGAGGAGAAGGAGGAAGUCAAACCUAAACAUAAAGCCAAGGAACAGGUGAGACAAAAGCAGAGAGGAAAAGAACAAAAGAAAGAAGGAAAGAAACUUAAACAAAUCCAAAAGAAAGAAGACAGUGAAGAUGAAGACGAGGAGUCUGAGGAGGAAUCUGAGGAGGAGGAGUCUGAGGAGGAGGAGGAGUCUGAGGAGGAGGAGUCUGAAGAGGAGGAGGAGUCUGAAGAGGAGGAGCCAGUGAAGAUUCAAAGGCAAGGAGGCAAACUGCUAAGAAAGCCACAGAAAGGACAAAAGAAAGACAGUGAAGAGGAGGAGGAGUCGGAGGAGGAGUCGUCGGAGGAAUCUGACGAAGAGGAGGAGGAGGAGGAGGAGGAGAAACCAGUGAAAAUGAAGCGAAAUGUUAAAGAGCAGAAGAAACCAAAGCAGGGACUGAAGGACAAGAAGACGCCAACGAAAGGAAGGGCCACAGAAAGUGAGGAUGAUGAUGAUGAUGAUGAUGAUGAAGAAGAAGAGGAAGAGGAGGAGAAACCAGCGAAACUGAAGCGAAAUGUUAAAGAGCAGAAGAAACCAAAGCAGGGACUGAAGGACAAGAAGAAGCCAACGAAAGGAAGGGCAUCAGAAAGUGAGGAUGAUGAUGAUGAUGAUGAUGAAGAAGAGGAGGAAGAGGAGGAAGAACAAGAGGAAUCUGAGGAAGAGGAGGAGGAGGAGGAGAAGCCUAGGAAAGGAAAGACUAAACCAAAAGCAGCACCUUCAGGCAGACAGACAGACAAACAGACAGGUAGACAGACAGGCAAACAGACAGACAGACAGACAGACAAACAGACAGGUAGACAGACAGCUGCAGGUAAACAGCGCGCUACUAAUGGAGCCCCUGACUCCGAGGGCUUCUGGAAUGAUGUCUUACCCCAGUACUUAGACCUCAGAUAGACACACACACACACACACACACACACACACACACACACACACACACACACAUACAUACUAACUCACACAUGGUGAGAGAAAAAUACAUGCACACAGACAGACUGAUGUCUAACAUGUAUGUGUACACACCCUCAUACUCUUGCAUACACACACACACACACACACACACACACACACACACACACACACACACACACACACACACACACACACACACACAAGUAAUCAAGCACAUUUAAUAGGCAGAGUAGCUGUUUCAUCACUGUGGUAUCAGACGGUCCAGUGUGCCUUGGUUUGUGAAAUCAUUUAACUAGAGUUUAAAGGUGUCUGUUUUAACUUCUCUUUAUCUCUCGUUUAGAGGUGCCAGUUCUAGCUUAUCUCUAACUCCUCCCACUGUUCUGCUAUGGUUCUACGUUCCUUCAGUGUCUACCAGAGAGUUCUAAGAGUUCCAAUAGAGCUCACUGGAUGUUCUAUGCGGAGCUAAGCACACAGUCUAUAUGUGAUGUUCAAGCGCUGGAUGUCCUUAGAUGCUCUUUCUGAAAGGCUGCUCAGUGCAGUAAGUCUAUUUAUUGCACAUGGACUGAACGUUUAAAGGAAUAAGUAAUGUUCUGUCAUUCUGUAUAAAUGUGAAUUAAAAACAGAUGAUGGUGACCUGGCAUUUCUCCUUGUAACUAUUCCUCACCCUAUCAUUAAAACACACACACACACUCACACACACACACACACACACACACACACACACACACACACACACACACACAUUCAUAUGAGUCACUGUACAGUUUGUCAUGCUGCCCACAGAUCCCCACCUACACACACACACACACACACACACACACACACACACACAUGCACAUUUCCACAUACACACACAUGCACAUUUGCACAAACACAAAUACCUUUCACUUUCUCAAUUCACCGUUGCACCAUCACCAAGCUCAGAGAAGCAGUCUACCUCAGGGAAAGCCCUUGCGGUCACCGUAAAAACACGUAAGUACAGCCCUCACAGUCACCAUGACAACAGAUAAGUACAGUCCUCGCAGUCACCGUAACAACACAUAAGUACAGCCCUCGCAGUCACCGUAACAACAGGUAAGUACAGCCCAGC